rnacentral:lncRNA from 1 species
CAUGGCGCUGCUGCAGUUCACUCUUCUGCUGGUGUUUCUCACUGAAUGCUGUGGGGAAACUCGCUUCAUUUAUAAAACAAAGGAUAAAGAAGAGAAGUUGAGGUGUGAAACAAACAAAUGGCAGAUAAGCACAAAAUCUGACAACAGGAUCGACCUGUGCUGCUCAGUACAGUGUAAGACUGGUAAAACUGUUGAGCUUGAUGAUGAUGAUGAUGAUGAUGAUGAUGAUAUAAAAAAAAUUUGCUCAAAGGAUAAAGUUUCUCGCUCACUGGAAGUGAAGAAGAGUGGAUUUUACUCCUGUGUUAAAUCUCUGGAUCCUGGACGUUUCCUUUUCCCUUUUAAAUCAUCUCCCAACAACGUUAUCCAGUCUUACAUCAUCGCUGUUCAGAACUCAGACUUGACGCUCGAGCCUGAGAGAAGAUCUUCAGUGAAUGUAUCUGAAGGAGGAUCUGUGAUUUUAAACUGCAGUUUCAGAUUCAAACCAGGAUACAAUAAAAAGCCUUUCACUGUUUACUGGAUCAAAACCGUAAAUCAGAGCAGCACCUGCAUUUAUUCCUAUGAUAGAGAUGGGCUUAAUCAUCACUGUGAUGAGCAGAAAAAACUGGGGAAAAGACUCUUAAAUCUAAACACAGGUCAGUUAAAUCACGACAUAAAGAUCAGUGAGGUGAAGAGUUCAGACAGUGGUCAGUACCGCUGUGCUUUACAGAUGGACACAAGUGUUAAAAAGGGAAAAUCUAAAGUAAAGUGGAAGGUGAUAGAAAACGUUACACUCAGAGUCUACAAUCCCACACCUCCUCACUCUACUGACCAACCUGAGACCNUCUGGU